rnacentral:lncRNA from 1 species
GUGCAUGUUGAAUACUGUGGAGGAUGAGGGUACGCAGCCCGUUAUCAGGAGCUUGCCAAGAAAAUCAAAGAGCAAGUUCCUGAUGCGGAGAUUUCAGAUGAAGUGGGCAGGAAAGGAAGCUUUGAAGUGAAGAUAAAUGGCAAGCUGAUAUUUUCUAAGAUUGAAACCUCUGGCUUUCCUUUUUCAGAAGAUGUAAGUUCUGAAUGUUGGUGUUAGACUGCAUACUAUGUCUCGGAUAGGAAAUGUGCCUGUGC